rnacentral:rRNA from 1 species
AGAGCGAACGCUGGCGGCAGGCUUAACACAUGCAAGUCGAGCGGGCGUAGCAAUACGUCAGCGGCAGACGGGUGAGUAACGCGUGGGAACGUACCUUUUGGUUCGGAACAACCCAGGGAAACUUGGGCUAAUACCGGAUAAGCCCUUACGGGGAAAGAUUUAUCGCCGAAAGAUCGGCCCGCGUCUGAUUAGCUAGUUGGUGGGGUAAUGGCCCACCAAGGCGACGAUCAGUAGCUGGUCUGAGAGGAUGAUCAGCCACAUUGGGACUGAGACACGGCCCAAACUCCUACGGGAGGCAGCAGUGGGGAAUAUUGGACAAUGGGCGCAAGCCUGAUCCAGCCAUGCCGCGUGAGUGAUGACGGCCUUAGGGUUGUAAAGCUCUUUCGCUCGGGACGAUAAUGACGGUACCGAGAUAAGAAGCCCCGGCUAACUUCGCGCCAGCAGCCGC